AGUGGCAGACGGGUGAGUAAUGCAUAGGAAUCUACCUGAUAGUAAGGAAUAGUCACUAGAAAUGGUGAGUAAUACCAUAUACGCCCUGAGGGGGAAAGAUUUAUCGCUGUCAGAUGAGCCUAUGUUGGAUUAGCUAGUUGGUAAGGUAAAGGCUUACCAAGGCUACGAUCCAUAGCUGGCCUGAGAGGGUGACCAGCCACACUGGAACUGAAAACGGUCCAGACUCCUACGGGAGGCAGCAGUGGGGAAUAUUGGGCAAUGGGCGAAAGCCUGACCCAGCCAUGCCGCAUGAGUGAUGAAGGCCUUCGGGUUGUAAAGCUCUUUUAGUGGGGAAGAGAUUGACGGUACCCACAGAAAAACGUCCUGGGCUAACUCCGCGNNNNNNNGCCGCGGCAAUACGGAGAGGCCGAGCGUUGUUCGGAAUCAUUGCGCGUAAAGGGCGCGUAGGUUGUCGUGCCAGUUGGAAGUGAAAUCCUGGAGCUUAACUCCAGUGCUGCUUUCAAUACUGCUUGACUAGAGUGUAAAGUACGGUAGCGAAUUCCUAGUGUGCAGGUGAAAUUCCGUAGAUAUUAGGAGGAACACCAUUGGCAAGGCGGCUACCUGGGU
rnacentral:rRNA from 1 species